GAGCCCGAUCCUGGCUCAGGAUGAACGCUAGCGGCAGGCCUAACACAUGCAAGUCGAGGGGUAACAGGAAAGCUUGCCUUCGCUGACGACCGGCGCACGGGUGCGUAACGCGUAUGCAACCUACCUCAUACUGGAGAAUAGCCCCUGGAAACGGGGAUUAAUACUCCAUAGUAUCAUUCUUUCGCAUGUUUGAAUGAUUAAAGAAUUUCGGUAUGAGAUGGGCAUGCGUCCCAUUAGCUAGUUGGUGAGGUAACGGCUCACCAAGGCUACGAUGGGUAGGGGGCCUGAGAGGGUGGUCCCCCACACUGGUACUGAGACACGGACCAGACUCCUACGGGAGGCAGCAGUGAGGAAUAUUGGUCAAUGGAGGCAACUCUGAACCAGCCAUGCCGCGUGAAGGAUGACGGCCCUAUGGGUUGUAAACUUCUUUUGAAUAGGAAGAAACUUAUCUACGUGUAGAUAACUGACGGUACUAUUAGAAUAAGGAUCGGCUAACUCCGUGCCAGCAGCCGCGGUAAUACGGAGGAUCCAAGCGUUAUCCGGAUUCAUUGGGUUUAAAGGGUCCGUAGGCGGAUCUUUAAGUCAGUGGUGAAAGCCGACAGCUUAACUGUCGAACUGCCAUUGAUACUGGAGAUCUUGAGUACAAAUGAAGUAGGCGGAAUGAGUCAUGUAGCGGUGAAAUGCAUAGAUAUGACUCAAAACACCGAUUGCGAAGGCAGCUUACUAACAUGUAACUGACGCUGAGGGACGAAAGCGUGGGGAGCGAACAGGA
rnacentral:rRNA from 1 species